GCAGUCUGCAACUCGAGUGCAUGAAGCUGGAAUCGCUAGUAAUCGCGGAUCAGAAUGCCGCGGUGAAUACGUUCCCGGGUCUUGUACACACCGCCCGUCACACCAUGGGAGUCGGGAAUGCCCGAAGCCGGUGGCCCGAUCGAAAGAAGGGAGCCGUCGAAGGCAGGCCGGAUGACUGGGGUGAAGUCGUAACAAGGUACC
rnacentral:rRNA from 1 species